rnacentral:rRNA from 1 species
UACAGAGGUCUCAAGCGUUGUUCGGAAUUACUGGGCGUAAAGGGCCAGUAGGCGGCCAACUAAGUCGGAUGUGAAAUCCCCAGGCUCAACUUGGGAACUGCAUCCGAUACUGGAUGGCUUGAAUUCGGGAGAGGGAUGCAGAAUUCCAGGUGUAGCGGUGAAAUGCGUAGAUAUCUGGAGGAAUACCGGUGGCGAAGGCGGCAUCCUGGACCGACAUUGACGCUGAACGGCGAAAGCUAGGGGAGCAAACGGG